rnacentral:rRNA from 1 species
CCUACGGGAGGCAGCAGUGAGGAAUCUUGGUCAAUGGCCGUAAGGCUGAACCAGCCAAGUAGCGUGAGGGAAGACUGCCCUAUGGGUUGUAAACCUCUUUUAUGCGGGGAUAAAGGUGUCCACGUGUGGCUGUUUGCAGGUACCGCAUGAAUAAGGACCGGCUAAUACCGUGCCAGCAGCCGCGGUAAUACGGAAGGUCCGGGCGUUAUCCGGAUUUAUUGGGGUUAAAGGGAGCGUAGGCCGGUCUUUAAGCGUGCCGUGAAAUUUUGGGGCUCAACCAUGAGAGUGCGGCGCGAACUGGAGACCUUGAGUGCGCGGAAGGCAGGCGGAAUUCGUGGUGUAGCGGUGAAAUGCUUAGAUAUCACGAAGAACCCCGAUUGCGAAGGCAGCCUGCCGCAGCGUUACUGACGCUGAAGCUCGAAAGCGCGGGUAUCGAACAGGAUUAGAUACCCCUGUAGUC